rnacentral:rRNA from 1 species
GACGAACGCUGGCGGCGUGCCUAAUACAUGCAAGUCGAGCGGAGUUUUUAAAAGCUUGCUUUUAAAAACUCAGCGGCGGACGGGUGAGUAACACGUGGGCAACCUGCCCUGUAGACUGGGAUAACUUCGGGAAACCGAAGCUAAUACCGGAUAAUCAUAGAAGUUGCAUAGCUUCUAUGUAAAAGUUGGGUUUACCUAACACUACAGGAUGGGCCCGCGUCGCAUUAGCUAGUUGGUAAGGUAACGGCUUACCAAGGCGACGAUGCGUAGCCGACCUGAGAGGGUGAUCGGCCACACUGGGACUGAGACACGGCCCAGACUCCUACGGGAGGCAGCAGUAGGGAAUCUUCCGCAAUGGACGAAAGUCUGACGGAGCAACGCCGCGUGAGCGAUGAAGGCCCUUUCGGGUCGUAAAGCUUCUGUUGUUAGGGAA